rnacentral:lncRNA from 1 species
UUCAGAACCAUUUCUCCUCCCAGCCCUGAAUCAACGUGAACGCCGUGUGGACACCGAACACAUAGCUCGGCCUCAUAACAUGACAGCAGAACAGGUGACUCACAGACGAACCUGAUAUC